CUGAAGCAAGUAAAAGAAGACCGUUGUUUGGAGCAUGUGCUGGGCUUGGCUAGCCCAGAGACUGAUGUCACCAGCAGUCAGAGGUCCAGGAAGACGCCACCUGUUGGACAUAGGAAAACUCAAGCUUCUGCAUUACAUGGACUGCUUGAUGCUCCCUGUACUGUUUAAAGGAUGCCGGGAGGUGUUCCUGCAACAUGGAGAAAUCAACGGAAAUGCUUUCCAAAGCUCUUGAAAGUUCCUCUCUUGUUCCAUGGAAGGAAUUGGGGUACUAAAUUUAAACAAAACAAAAUCAAAAUGGAGGAUACAAGAGAUGGAGGAGAGGAUCUCUGGCGUAGAGGAUACAAUAGAGGAAAUGGAUUUGUCAGUCAAAGAAAAUACCAAUGCCAAAAAAAUUAUAACACAAAAUGUCCAAGAAAUCUGGGACACCAUGAAAAGACCAAACCUACAAAUAAUAGGGAUAGAAGAAGGAGAAGAAUACCAACUCAAAGGCACAGAAAAUAUAUUCAACAAGAUCAUAGGAGAAACCUUUCCCAACUUAAAGAAGGAAAUGCCUAUGAAGAUACAGGAAGCCUAUAGAACACCAAAUAGAGUAGACCCCUCCCAAAAGUACCCUCGACACAUACUAAUUAAACAACUAAGCGUACAGAAUAAAGAAAGAAUAUUAAGGGCAGCAAAGGAAAAAGGCCAAGUGACUUAUAAAGGCAAAACCAUCAGAAUAACACCCGAUUUCUCCAUGGAGACUUUGAAAGCCAGAAGGACCUGGACAGAUGUAAUGCAGAUACUAAGAGACCAUGGAUGCCAGCCUAGACUAAUAUACCCAGCAAAACUCUCAAUCAUCAUAGAUGGAGUGACCAAGACAUUCCAAGACAAAACCAGAUUUAAACAAUACUUAUCCACAAACCCAGCCCUACAGAAAGCACUAGAAGGAAAAUUCCAACCUAAGGAAGUCAGAUACACCCACAAAAACACAGGCAAUAGAUAACACCACAGCAGUAAACUCCAAAGAAGAGAAGUACACACACAUUACCACCAAAAAAUAACAGGAAUGAACAAUCACUGGUCAUUAAUAUCCCUUAAUAUCAAUGGACUUAAUUCACCUAUAAAAAGACACAGGCUAACAGAAUGGAUACAAAAACAGGUCCCAUCUUUCUGCUGCAUACAAGAAAUACACCUCUAAUUCAAAGAUAGACACUACCUAAGAAUAAAAGGCUGGGAAAAGUCUUUCCAAUCAAAUGGUCUUAAGAAGCAAGCAGGUGUGGCCAUCCUAAUAUCCAGCAAAAUAGACUUCAAACUAAAAUCAAUCAAAAGAGAUCAAGAAGGGCAUUACAUACUUGUCACAGGAAAGAUCCACCAAGAUGAAGUUUCAAUUCUGAACAUUUAUGCCCCAAACACAAGGGCACCCACAUAUGUAAAAGAAACAUUUCUAAAGCUUAAAUCACACAUAAAACCCCAUACAUUAAUAGUGGGAGACAUCAACACCCCACUUUCACCACUGGACAGAUCUGCCGAAUCGAAACUUAACAGAGAAAUAAAGGACUUAACUGAUGUUAUGACUCAAAUGGAGUUAAUCGAUAUCUACAGAACAUUCCAUCUUAACAAAAAAGAAUAUACCUUCUCAGCACCCCAUGGAACCUUCUCUAAAAUCAACCACAUACUUGGUCACAAAGCAAAUCUCAACAGUUACAAAACAAUUGGAAUAACCUCCUGUGUUCUAUCAGACCACUAUGGUUUAAAGUUAGAUUUCAACAACAACAAAAACUACAGAAAGCCUACAAUCUCAUGGAAACUGAAUAAUGCUCAACUGAAUCACCAAUGGGUUAGGGAAGAAAUAAAGAAAGAAAUUAAAGACUUCCUAGAGAUCAAUGAAAAUGAAUAUACCACAUACCCAAACUUAUGGGACACUAUGAAAACAGUGAUAAGAGGGAAAUUCAUAGCACUAAAUGCCCACAUAAAGAAGUUGGAGAAAUCUCACACUAGUGACUUAAUAGCACACCUGAAAGCUCUAGAACAAGAAGAAGCAAAGUCAACAAGGAAGAAUAAAUAGAUGCCAGGAAAUAAUCAAAUUGAGAGCUGAAAUCAAUAAAAUAGAAACAAAGAGAACAAUAUAAAGAAUUAAUGAAACAAAGAGUUGGUUCUUUGAGAAAACUGACAAGAUAGACAAGCCCUUAUCCAAACUAACCAAAAGGCAGAGAGAGAGCAUCCAAAUUAACAAAAUCAGAAAUGAAAAGGGAGACAUAACAACUGACACUGAGGAAAUCCAAAAAAUCAUCAGGUCAUGCUUCAAAAACCUCUACUCCACAAAACUGGAAAAUCUAAAAGAAAUGGAUAAUUUUCUGGAUAGGUACCACAUACCUAAGUUAAAUCAAGACCAGAUAAACUAUUUAAAUAGUCCAAUAACCCCUAAGGAAAUAGAAUCAGUCAUUAAAAGUCUCCCAAGCAAAAAAAAGCCCAGGACCCGAUGGUUUCAGCGCAGAAUUCUACCAGAUCUUCAAAGAAGAGUUAAUACCAAUACUCUCUAAAUUGUUCCACACAAUAGAAACAGAAGGAACAUUACCAAACUCCUUGUAUGAGGCUACAAUUACCCUGAUUCCUAAGCCAAACAAAGAUGCAACAAAGAAAGAGAACUACAGACCGAUCUCCCUCAUGAACAUUGAUGCAAAAAUACUCAAUAAAAUACUGGCAAACAGACUCCAAGAACACAUCAAAACAAUUAUCCACCAUGAUCAAGUAGGCUUCAUUCCAGGGAUUCAAGGGUGGUUCAACAUACGAAAGUCCAUCGAUAAUACACCAUAUAAACAAACUGAAAAAAACACCACAUGAUCAUCUCACUAGAUGCUGAAAAGGCAUUUGACAAAAUUCAACACCCCUUCAUGAUAAAGGUCUUGGAGCAAUCAGGAAUACAGGGAACAUACCUAAACCUAAUAAAGGCAAUUUACAGCAAGCCAACAGCCAGCAUCAAAUUAAAUGGAGAGAAACUCAAAACAAUUCCACUAAAAUCAGGAAUGAGGCAAGGCUGUCCACUCUCCCCAUACUUAUUCAAUAUAGUACUUGAAGUUCUAGCCAGAGCAAUAAGACAACUUAAGGAGAUCAAGGGGACACAAAUUGGAAAGGAAGAAGUCAAGCUUUUGCUAUUUGCAAAUGACAUGAUAGUAUAUAUGAGUGACCCCAAAAAUUCAACCAAGGAUCUCAUACAGCUUAUAAACAUCUUCAGCAACAUAGCAGGAUACAAGAUUAACUCAAAAAAAUCAGUAGCCCUCCUAUAUACAAUUGACAAACAGGCUGAAAAGAAAAUCAGAGAUACAUCACCCUUUACAAUAGCCACAAAUGAUAUAAAAUACCUUGGGGUAACUCUAACUAAGCAAGUGAAGGACCUAUAUGACAAGAACUUUAAGUCCCUGAAAAAAGAAAUUGAAGAAGAUGUCAGAAAAUGGAAAGAUCUUCUAUGCUCAUGGAUAGACAGGAUUAACAUAGUAAAAAUGGCAAUCUUACCAAAAGCAAUCUACAGAUUCAAUGCAAUUCCCAUCAAAAUACCAACACAAUUCUUCACAGACCUGGAAAGAACAAUAGUCAACUUCAUAUGGGGGGAAAAAAAGCAGGAUAGCCAAAAGAAUCCUGUACAAUAAAACAACCUCUGGAUCCAUCAUGAUCCCUGACCUCAAGCUCUACUAUAGAGCUACAGUAAUAAAAACAGCUUGGUACUGGCAUAAAAACUGACCUGUGGAUCAAUGGAAUCAAAUUGAAGACCCUGACAUUAAUCCGCACACCUAUGAACAUAUAAUUUUUGACAAAGAAGCCAAAACUGUACAAUGGAAAAAACAAAGCAUCUUCAACAAAUGGUGCUGGCAAAACUGGAUGUCAACAUGUAGAAGGCUGAAAAUAGAUCCAUAUCUGUCACCAUGCACAAAACUUAAGUCCAAGUGCAUCAAAGAUCUCAACAUAAAUCCAAUUACUCUGAACCUAAUAGAAGAGAAAGUAGGAAGUUGUCUUGAACACAUUGGCAUAGGAGAGCACUUCCUAAAUAUAACACUAGUAGCAUAGAUACUGAGAGAAACAUCAAUCAAUAGGACCUUUUGAAACUGAGAAGCUUUUGUAGAGCAAAGGACAUGGUCAACAAGACAAAGCUACAGCCUACAGAAUGGGAAAAGUUCUUCACCAAUCCCACAUCUGACAGAGGGCUGAUAUCUAGAAUAUAUAAAGAACUCAAGAAAUUAGACAUCAAAAUGCCCAACAGUCCAAUUAAGAAAUGGGUAUAGAGCUAAACAGAGAAUUCUCAACAGAGGAAGCUCAAAUGGCUGAAUGACAUUUAAGGAAUUGCUCAACAUCCCUAAUCAUCAGGGAAAUGCAAAUCAAAAUGACUCUGAGAUACCACCUUACACCUGUUAGAAUGGCUAAGAUCAAAAACACUGAAGAUACCUUAUGGUGGAGAGGAUGUGGAGCAAGGGGAACUCUCCUCCACUGUUGGUGGGAAUGCAAGCUUGUACAGCCACCUUGGAAAUCAAUAUGGCUCUUUCUUAGAAAAUUGAGAAUCAAUUUCCCCCAAGACCCAGCUAUACCACUCUUGGGCAUAUUCCCAAGGAAUGCUCAAUCAUACCACAAGGGCACAUGUUCAGCUCUGUUCAUAGCAGCAUUAUUUGUAAUAGCCAGAACCUGGAAACAACCUAGAUGCCCUUCAACUGAAGAAUGGAUAAAUAAAAUGUGGUACAUAUACACAAUGGAGCAGAGAAAAACAAUGACAUCAUGAGGUUUGCAGGCAAAUGGAUGGAUCUAGAAAAAAAUCAUCCUGAGUGAGGUAACCCAGACUCAGAAAGACAAACAUGAUAUGUACUCACUCAUAGGUGGAUACUAGAUGUAAAACAAAGGAUGACUAAACUGCUACUCACACCUCCAGGGAGGCUACCUAGAAAACAGGACCUUAAGAAAGACACAGGGUUUGCCCAAUGGCAGAGAAAUGAAUGAGAUCUACAUGAGCAAACUGGACGUGAAUGGGGGUAAUGAAGGGCAAGCGUUCGGAGAAAGAGAGCUUAGGGGAUCCCAGAUGGAUCAAGAACAGAGAGGGAGAACAAGGAAAAAGAAAACAUGAUAAAUGAAGACCCCCAUGGGAAUAGGAAGAAGCAAAGUGCUAGAGACGUCCCCAAAAAUCCACAAAGAUACCUCCACAAUAGACUACUGGCAAUGGUCGAGAGAAAGCCCGAAUUGACCUACUCUGGUGAUCGGAUGACCAAACACCCUAACUGUUAUGGUAGAACUCUCAUCCAAUGACUGAUGGAAGCUGAUGCAGAGAUCCAUGGCCAGGCCCCAGGUGGAGCUCCGGGAGUCCAAUCAGUGAGAAAGAGGAGGGAUUAUAUGAGCAAGAAUUGUUGAGACCAUGAUUGGAAAAAGCACAGGGACAAAUAGCCAAACUAGUGGAAACACAUGAACUAUGAACCAAUAGCUGAGGAGCCCCCAACUGGAUCAGGCCCUCUGGGUAGGAAGUCAUGAAACAAAAGAAUUAGCACUUAUUUGCAGUGUAAAAGCAAAAUGUCUCCAAGGACGACUUCUGGGAAAACAUAUUUCAAUCAAACUGACUGCUCAGCCAAGGAAGAAGAGAGUGUUCAUCAUUUACAGUGUUCUGUAUUUCUAAGAGGAGCCUCUGAAGACAGUCUUCAUCAUUUACAGUGUUCUGUAUUUCUAAGAGGAGUCUCUGAAGACAAGGAAGAAGAGAGUGUUCAUCAUUUACAGUGUUCUGUAUUUCUAAGAGGAGCCUCUGAAGACAGUCUUCAUCAUUUACAGUGUUCUGUAUUUCUAAGAGGAGCCUCUGAAGACAAGGAGGAAGAGGGUGUCCAUCAUUUACAGUGCUCUGUAUUUCUAAGAGGAGCCUCUGAAGACAAGGAAGCUGUCGUCUGUAUGACCCACUUGCAUGAUAAUGAUGACAUUGCUUUUCUGUAAAUGAUGCUAAGCUUCCUUCUCUCAUCACAGAUGGAGAGUUCUGUGUUUUCGGAGAGAUGAUCAGAACAUCCUUGGUUGAAGCACUGAUAUGAAUUUCUGUGUCUCUAUUGACACUGACUAGUUCUGUGAUAGUAGACGGUGACUUAAGUUUUUCUAUCUCUGUUAACUCAUUAUGUAAAAUUUGCUCUGAUCCUCAUGAUGCAUCACGUAGCAAAUACCUUGUACUUGUUGUCCAUGUGACUUUUGAAACAUGACAAAGCUAAUGCUUCCACAAUCUACAAGUGUGGAUCCCCUUUAGUAUUUUUCCAAUGAAGACUUAGAAUUCUGUAUUCAAGUCAGACAUGAGAAAUACUGGUAAUAAUUUACCAGACAGCGAGUGCUUUUGGCCUCCUAUUGACUUACUCCACAAGAAAAAGAAGCACAUGGUCUUAGUGAUCUUAACUCUAAAAUCUGGACAUUAGCCCUCUCUGUUCCUCAAACCGCUCUGCUUCUUCUUGUCGUAUACACACACAUGAUUUUGUGCAUCUUGCAUAUCUAGGUGCCAUGAAUGAGAGAAGACAUGGCAUUUGUCUUCCCGAGACUGACUUUGCUGUUUGAAUGAGAUGUCCGCAAGUUCUCAGGCAUCUGAUUAUUGGUGGUUCAGUUGGUGACACUAUAUGGGGUAUUUUGCCUGCAUGUAUGUGUCUUCAGUGCCUGUGGAGACCACAAGAGAGCAUUGGAUCUGCUGGAACUGGAGUUACAGACAGUUGUAAGUUGCCGUGUGGGUGCUAGAGAUUGAACCCAGGUUCUCUGGAAGAGCAGCAAGUACUCUUAACUGUUAAGCAAUCUCUCCCAUCCCCAGACAUUAUUUUCAAAAUACAAAUACAAAUAAUUAUCUAGUCGACCUAAAAUAGUCUGGUUCCAGUAUUCAGUCCAAGACAGAAGCAGAACAGAGGCUGAAAGCUACAGGGUGACUUCUGCAGGACCAGUCUGCCUGAUUGAAAAGACAGUGUCUGCGUUUAGCUUCCUGCUUCCUUCUGGACAAUCUAGCACUCUAGCAAGGGAUGCUCAGAGUUUUGUGCUAUUACAUCACUUAGAGUCUGGUGGAAAGAUCCAGAAGCAGUUCUCUAAGAAACUCUAAGUUGUAAAGUGUUUAGGGGGUCCCCAGGCAGUGGGACCAUGACCCAUCCAUGGUGCACAAGCUGGCUUUUUGGAGCCCAGUGCCUAUGGUGAGACAUUUUGCACAUCCUUGGUGCAAGGAGGAGGGGCUUGGACCUGCCUCAACUGAAUGUAUCAGGCUCUGCGGACUCCCCAUGGGGACCUUGCCUUGGAGGAGUGUGGACUUCGAAUUGAUAAAUCAGCAACAAUUGGAACUUGCCAAAAUGCUGAUCACUGGAGCAGAUGCAGACCUGAUAAGGAGCCCCGAGGUGCUGCAGGAAAUGAGGUACCUAAUCUGCAGUUUGAAUAAUCACUUGGGACCACUCAAGUAGAGGAUCAGUAUCAUCCCGUUUCUGAUUCUAAAGACAAGGAGGCUUUUGUAGGUCUGUACUCCCUGCGGAGUGCCUGGGGGAAAAGUUUUGCUUUUUCUUGGGCCUUUUUUAUGAGCAAUGCUAACUUCCUCUUUCCACAAAAAACAGAAAUAUUUACAGAAAGUUUGAGUUUAAAAUCAAAAUAACACGACAUAGCAAUAUCUAUGCACAAUCACAGCAAAUACAGUCUGUGAGGAUGACAUCGUGCUGGGGUGGAGGAACAUGCUUUGUUGACUCAGCUGAACACGUGACUGGGGUAAGGAAUUGGCUGCUUAUUUUGAAAAGUAAUCUCGCACUUCAUCAGUGGAAUGAAUUUUUAUGGGGACCGUUAAAUUCGAGUGCACGGCCUUGAUGAGAUUGAUUCCUGAACUGAUUCGCCUGCUGUUCAGUCAGCUGUGAUUCAUUCCUAGAGAAACAGCCCACACAGGUUCCAACGCAGCGCCAGGGGAGGAAGCAGUCACGAGGAUGUCUCCAGUAGGACCACACUCGAGCAGAGCAUCAUAGAAAAGGAGGUUUGGCACUUCUGUGGUGCAUGGAUAGCCAGAAGACAUUUACCUCAUGAAUAUAUAUAUAUAUAUGUAUUCAUAUUCAUAUAUGUAUAUAUGUAUAUGUAUAUGUAUAUGUAUAUGUAUAUAAAACAAUUCCAAAGGAUUUUCUUGAAUGUUUAGUAUGUGCUGAGCUCUGGCUUUAAAUAUAAUAAUACAUAGGACAUUUGACUACAGAUGUAAAGGGCUUUUUUAAAAAUCUUUUUACUAGCAAUUGUGUACGUGAUUAACACAGUUUUACAAAAUAUCUGAUUCGUGUUUCCCAAGAAUCCUAGGAAAUAGAUGUCUACCCACCUCUUACGGAUGUGGAAAUUGAAUGAUGUUCAGGUCAAACGUGAGUUUGUAUAAACCACGGGCUCCACCCCAGUCCUAUUCUCAAGCUCCCUCUCGUUGUUUAGGCUUUCUAAAGCUGGGCAUCAGAAGACCUCAGAAAUAGGCCUCAAAAUGUGAAAUCUGUCUGAUUUCUUGUCUUCCUUUUCCCUGAUCCCCUUCCUCGCCUUAAAGCAAGCCAUAGAAACUAGAAUUUCUUUUCUAGAAAAUUACUUGAGGGUGGGGGUUGUAAAAUUCCAAGUGUCUUUUCUGCAAACCAAACAGUAAAGCCUAAAAUAUUAUUUCCAUUUUUCUUCCAUCUUGCUGUGUUAGCACUGACCUUAGAAAUUCUCCAACAUAGCUUGUCGGAUGUAGAGCACUGACAAUCCUCCUUCUAAAGGUCCCAUGCCUCCUACUCAGGAGAGAGCGGCACUCCUUACCACGUCCAGGAGCCUGUCAACAGGAGGAACGGCUGGAACCCUACCUUCACCUUGUCACUGCGCAGCGCUUUUGUCUCAUCACAUUUCUAAAUGGCGUUUCCUGAUAGCAAAUGAUCUCCAGCUGAAACCUCUUCUAUUAAAACAUUUGCCUGUGAAAGCAAUCCAGAUGGAGUGACCGAAAUGAUGAGUGGAAAGCUGGCAUUCAAGUGGGCAUUCAGUCACCCAGCAGACGGAGAAGCAAAAGCCAGAGGCAGUGACUUACCUUGUACUUUGACAUUACUUCUCAUUUAAAAUUGGAGUUACUCCAUAAUUAAUUUGUAAAGUGAGUCUACAGCUCAUUAAGAAUACUGUUUUUCAUAAAAGGACAGUUUAUAAAUGAUGCAGAAUGGACGAAGUGCUCUGUGUGGCACUGGACUUUGCCUGUGAUAUGGUUCACACUACAGGAGUCAUGAACCUCCGGACAUCAUUCCACUCCUGCAGGUCUUCAGUUCCUGGAGCUGUAGGAAUGAAGUCUGUUCCUCUCUUCAAAGGCUGGAAUCAUGAUGUGUUCCCUUUCAUGUUAGUUUAGCUGAAAAUCACAGGUCAACACAAAGCCUUCUCAGUGAACCUGUCUUGUGAAUAAUUAUUUUCAUAAUUAUAUUUUUUUUAUUCAUUAUAAGAUGAAAUGGAAGCAAAAUCAGGUCAAAUUUUCAAAGGCAAACUGCCUCUGUACAGUGUAUUAUGUUACAUAAUUGUAAGUUCACCACAAGAAGUGGAUGCGGGCUGACAUUUUCAUUGCACUUUUAGCAAAUCAGCUUUGGAAGUAUGCAUUGAAUGUUUCAAAUCUAAAAGCAGGUUUACAACUUGGCAAAUCUCUUGCUGUGUACUGUUCAGACACACCAAGGAUGAGGCUUGGAACAAGUUUUCUAAGGAGAAAAUAAACAACUGUGAAGACUGGCUGUCCCUUGCUCUUUAGAACUGAAGGAAAAUUGUCCAGAAAUCACACAAGGUGGCUUUCUUAUUACUUACAUGGAAACAUUUCGAAAUGGGGCAUCCAGCACAUCUAAACAGAAUGAUGUGUGGCCUACCAAUCUGGGGGUGGAUCCCUGACAGCUCGUCUAAUCAACAUUUUUCUGGAAAUAGGAUUUGCUCUUGUGUGUUUUUAGAGAGGUUAUACAGCUGAGAGAAUUUCUUGGAUGUUUCCAACAAUAAUCUCAUCUCAUUCUUUUUUUUAAAAUAGAAUUUUAUUUGGUUAUUUUAUGAGUCUAGGGGCACAGAGGUCAUAGGACAACUUGUGAGAGUCAGUUUUGGCUUUCCAACAUGUGUGUCCCAGGGAGAAAACUCAGGCUGUCAGAGUUAGCAGCAAGCACCUUAAUACGCUCAACUGUCUUCUAGCCUUCGCCUCAGUGUUCCUGGAGUUUUAAGCAAUUCAGAAGUUUCUUGCAUCUGUUAAAAGAAAAAUAGAAAAGUAAGUUUUGAUUUUUAUUCUGUGCUUGAAACUUCUUAAUCAGAACCACUUGACCAGCCAGGGAUUUUGAAUAGCUUUUCUUACAAGAACUGUUGAAACUGCAUUGUCUCCCUCAGGAUGACAGCGAGUCGUAGCUCCUUUCUGUCAUCUCCAGUUGAUGAGAAUUUUUUCAGUUUUCUGUUAAACUUGAUAAAACUGCACUGCACUGCAGAGGUAACUUCAGGCAAUUCUCUGGGUAAGACAGAGUCAUUUCUAGCUGGACACCGAGGGGGAAGAAGAAUAGAAAGUCACUCUUUAUGAAAAAUCAAUGCAAAAGCACAAGACAUGGGAUCUAAAUAGAAUUUCUGCUCACAUUUGAAUAUAUUGCUGCUAACACUGAAGCUGUGUGUGUCAUAGAAAGAUCACGAAUAACAGUUUAGUUUUAUUCUGCCUUGAUUUAAGGAAAGAUCAUCUGAAGUUGUAGCUGGAGUUCACUGCUGCUCAAUGGAAUAAGCAUUAAAGCUGUUUCAGGAGUCCUCUAGUGGGACAAAGUGGAGUUAUCAAGAGCCAAAUACCAAACAGGGUCAGACAUGCUUCCACUGGAAAUUAACUAAAGCAGAUGAAGACAGAGUACAAGAAAGAUUCAUCCCAAAUGGAUGGCUCCAGGAAGCCAACUCAAAUGAAAUGGAUUAAGAACUUACAUGUAUGACCUGAAACUAUAAGAUGGCUAGAACACAGAGGAGAAAGACUAUGACAUUCAUCUAGAAACUGGCCUUUUAGCAUUGGAGUGGCAGCGAUAACUCUGCUUGCUCUGACAACAGUGAGCUCCAGGAAGCUUCUCAGAGCUUCUCUGUGUAGCCAUGAUGUUCCAUCUGUGAUCUGUGGACCUCCUUCGGGUGAGUGAACUUACAUGCCCAUGGUUGUGCUGGCUCGUUUUAUGUCAGCUUGACACAAGCUAGAAUAAAUGGAGAAGAGGGAGCCUCAAUUGAGAAAAUGCCUCCACAAGAUCAGUCAUCUUAAUCAAUGAUUGCUGGAAAAGGGCCCAGACCACUGUGGUUGGUACCAUCCCCUGUGCUGUUGAAUCUGUGUUCUAUAAGAAGACAGGCUGAGCAAGCCAUGAGGAGCAAGCCAGUAAGCAGCAUCCUCCAUGGCCUCCACAUCAGCUACUGCCUCAAGGAUUCUGCCCUGUUUGUGUUCCUGCCUGACUGCCUUGCAUGAUGAACAGUGAUGUGGAGUAUAAGCUAAAUAUACCUUUUCCUCCCCAACUUGCUUUGGUCAUGGUGCUUCAUCAUACAGUAAUAAUGCUAAGUAAGACAAUGGGCAAGGUUGGAGCCUCUCUACUGAUCUUGUUGCUAUGCCUACAGCUCAAAUCAUCUCCAGUGUUAAUGCUGUUCAAUGUGGAUAUCUGUCUAUUUGUCAUUUAUUAUUUAUUUAGAGGUCUCUGAUAUUGCCUGUUAACUGAAGCUCCAGGCUCUGACCACCUUUCAACUAUAUUUUUGAAAAUGAAUGUAGAGGCAACAUCAUAGACAUGAGCUCAAAAAAAAAUUAAAGGGUAAAGAUGGAGUUUUCCACUAACUUUGUAAUUACUGUAAAAUUAUAAAUCUUAUGAUAGAUAUUUAACUUAUGAUUUGGAAGAUGAGGAAUAUUCCUAGUCUCUUCUAUGUCCAAUAGUGAACAGAAUUUGCAGGGAAGAAUGUGUCCCACUCUCCUCGGAUUCCCACUGGAUCACUUUGUGUUGCCUUCACAGCACAUAUCCUUUGAAUUAGCAUUUAAUUUGUUUCUAAUAUGUACAUAGUUCCACAAUUCAUUAACUUCUGUGGGCUCAUGUUACCAAAUGGUUGAUUUGUCCAAUAGUGAACAGAAUUUGCAGAGAAGAAUGUGUCCCACUCUCCUCGGAUUCCCACUGGAUCACUUUGUGUUGCCUUCACAGCACAUAUCCCUUGAAUUAGCAUUU